rnacentral:rRNA from 1 species
GAUGAGUAGCAAUACGAGUGAUGUUCUAGCGGCGGACGGGUGAGUAACGCGUGAGCAAUCUGUCUCUUACAGGGGGAUAACGCAUCGAAAGAUGUGCUAAUACCGCAUAAGACCACGACAAGGACAUCUUGAUGAGGUCAAAGGAGCAAUUCGGUAAGAGGUGAGCUCGCGUCUGAUUAGCUAGUUGGUGAGGUAAUGGCCCACCAAGGCAACGAUCAGUAGCCGACCUGAGAGGGUGAUCGGCCACACUGGAACUGAGACACGGUCCAGACUCCUACGGGAGGCAGCAGUGGGGAAUAUUGGGCAAUGGGCGAAAGCCUGACCCAGCAACGCCGCGUGAAGGAAGAAGGUUUUCGGAUCGUAAACUUCUAUCCUUGGUGAAGAUAAUGACGGUAGCCGAGAAGGAAGCCCCGGCUAACUACGUGCCAGCAGCCGCGGUAAUACGUAGGGGGCAAGCGUUGUCCGGAAUGAUUGGGCGUAAAGGGCGCGUAGGCGGCCAACUAAGUCUGAAGUGAAAGUCCUGCUUUUAAGGUGGGAAUUGCUUUGGAAACUGGAUGGCUUGAGUGCAGGAGAGGUUAGUGGAAUUCCCGGUGUAGCGGUGAAAUGCGUAGAGAUCGGGAGGAACACCAGUGGCGAAGGCGACUAACUGGACUGUAACUGACGCUGAGGCGCGAAAGUGUGGGGAGCAAACAGGAUUAGAUACCCUG